rnacentral:rRNA from 1 species
CCUACGGGAGGCUGCAGUAGGGAAUCUUUCACAAUGGGCGAAAGCCUGAUGGAGCAACGCCGCGUGCAGGAUGAAGGCCUUCGGGUUGUAAACUGCUUUUAUAAGCGAGAAAUAUGAGGGUAACUUAUGAAUAAGGAUCGGCUAACUACGUGCCAGCAGCCGCGGUCAUACGUAGGAUCCGAGCAUUAUCCGGAGUGACUGGGUGUAAAGAGUUGCGUAGGUGGCAUAAUAAGUAGCUAGUGAAAUCUGGUGGCUCAACCAUUCAGACUAUUAGCUAAACUGUUAAGCUCGAGACCGUUAGGGGUAACUGGAAUUUCUAGUGUAGGAGUGAAAUCCGUAGAUAUUAGAAGGAACACCAAUAGCGUAGGCAGGUUGCUGGGACGGUUCUGACACUAAGGCACGAAAGCGUAGGGAGCAAACAGGAUUAGAUACCCCAGUAGUC